rnacentral:tRNA from 1 species
GCCUCGAUGGUGAAACUGGUAGACACAAGUGACUUAAAAUCACUCGACGAAAGUCGUGCCGGUUCGAUUCCGGCUCGAGGCACCA